rnacentral:tRNA from 1 species
GCGGGAUUAACUCAGUGGUAGAGUAGCGCCUUUACACGGCGAAUGUCGGGAGUUCGACCCUCUCAUCCCGCACCA